UACUUUUGUUUUUUUAUGUAGUGCAUACUACACAUUAUUAAGAACAUAGACAAAUCAAUAAGAACGAGAUUUAGGGAAGUUUUGAUGCCCUUGGAAUAUCAAAAAAGUGCAAAAAGUUCCUAUUAAAAAUACAUUACAAUAUCAAAUGAAACAUGUGAGAUCAGCAAUUGUCGGCCCAACUCGAUUCCCCACAUUAACUCCCCCCAGAAAAUUGACAUAUAUCUAUCUCUCAUUAGUCCAACAAAAUUGUAAGCAAAAACCUCACCCUAAACCCUAAAGCCCUCUCCAAAUGAACGAAUGAUUUCCGUCCCUCUGUAAAUCAUCCACGAUAUUUGAGCACAGACACUGUAGGAUCAGUUAACAAAGGCAACAGUGCAGCUGCUGCAGUAGUAGCAGUAACCAGCCAGAUUCGCACGGUGUGGGCCACGGCAAAUUACGCAAAGGGAGACUGAGGUGGAGAUGAUUAAGGUUCCGCAACCCUACAGAUACUUAAAUCAGUGGGUUGCGUGCUACACAUCCCAACCUAGCGAGGGAACAAAAUCACGCACAUCCUGCAGUUGCCGCACAUUCUCUUAAAAAUAAUUCGGGUAGGCUAUAAAAAGUCUCCUCCUGGGCUUGACAAAGGGGGUUUGACGCGAUCGGACGCGCGACCACGAGUCGGGAAAGUCCCUCACCCAACUGAUCUCGGUGCCGCAUCGGGACAGCCUGGAUUCUUCGCAACUUCGGCGUCGCGACAUCAAUUUGCACACUGUGAUCGCCUCCUCCUCCACUUCCUCCUCCUCUUCGCCUGCUGUGGCUCUCCUCCAUUUAUAAAAGUGCGACAACGGGUGGCGCCGUUGUCACCCUACAGUUCAGCUCCAGAUCCUCCCUCCGUCACGCUCCAGAUCUCCAGAUGCUAUUUCUGAUCGGUGUGAGCUAAAAACCUUCGUGCUUAUU
rnacentral:lncRNA from 1 species